AUGUUCUGCAGCAUGGUUCCUAGAAUAAAUUGCCGCUGCACAGCAGGAUUCAAGGAAACAGUGCUGACGGCCUCACUCUUCUUGCAUUGUGAAGCCUGGAGAAAGAUCCGCCCACUGCUGACUUGUGUCCUAAAUGAAAAAUGCAUUCCAGCCCUUGGCUACAACCCAGUGAGAACUCUCACUUGUGCCUGGACUGAUUUCCUGGUCUCCUGGCUUGAUCUCCUCCCAUCCGAUUUCCACACUGCCACCCCAGCAGUUUUUCCCCAGUCGGUCACAGGAGAACAGGAAGACGGCACUCUUGCAUUGCUCUCAGGUUCUAUCGAGGCAGUGGCAUCCUUGGGACCCAGAAUGUGGAAAGGCACAGUCAAGACAGAGUGAGCAAGGGUAGGUAGUCCAGCACCAUGGCUCUCAUGCUCACCCUGCUGCAGCGCCUCUGUGUUCUGCUCAGGAGAGCGGAUGUAAGCCAGCCCAGUUGGCUUUCAGCUCCAAAGGUGGCAGGCAGCAGCAGGACAUGUCCGGUCUCAAGGUAGGGGGUGGGGGUGGGGGUGGGGUGCCAGGGCUGCUUCUCCAAGUGCACCAGGCUGCUGCCUGUAGCUGCCUUCCCUCUGGUUUCUGGUGGCCUCCCCAACCUCGAGGGGCCUGCCUAUACUCCUUUCAUCAGCAGAGCCAAACAAAGUGUGGGCUGGAGACUCUGGGAUGCUCUGGGGCCUCGUGGGGUGUGGGGAAGGUGCCCACAGUGCUUGAUCCAGGAAUCCCUGCUCUCAGAAUGAUGGCAUAUUGUAUAUGUGUGUGUUCAGUCAUGGCCUAUUCUUUUGUGACCCCAUGGACUAUAGCCUGCCAGGCUCCUCUGUCCAUG
rnacentral:lncRNA from 1 species